rnacentral:lncRNA from 1 species
UUCAGAUCAUCGUCACCUCUCAGCUGGGUGAUUGCAGUAGUUUCCCGCCUACUGCUGUUACCGGGAAGGGGUCUCAAUCCAGAUCCUAAGAGAGGGUUUAUGGAUUUCACUCAAGAAAGAAUAUGAGAAACAUCACCACAGAAAAGACACAGAAGAGUCUCAUGGUCGGAUUCUCUUUGCUCUCCACUUACAGCCACAGACUUUUCCUCAAAUCUCCUAAUACCAAUCUCCAGCACCUGGAUAAAUACCUAAUAGUCCAA